rnacentral:rRNA from 1 species
AUGCAGGAGGGAAGACCCCUGUCUUAUUUCAGUAAGUCAAUAGGACCCAAGGCAGCAGCAUGGUCCACCUAUGACAAAGAAGCACUAGCAAUUAUUGAGGCUGUGAAAAAGUGGAAACACUAUUUCCUAGCUACUUCUUUGAUUAUCAGAACUGACCAGGAAAGUUUGAAGUACAUCCAAGAGAAAAAGCUAACUGAGGGAAUACAACAUAAGCUCUUGCUAAAGUUGUUGGGUUACAAUUUUACAAUGGAGUACAAAAAGGGCAAAGAAAAUAGAGUUGCUGAUGCCUUGUCAAGAGUGAAACACAUGAUUUCCCUCCUUUCCACUAGUGUUACCACCCCAAAAUGGAUAUCUGAAGUCCUCAAAAGCUAUGUUACAGAUCAGAAGGUUAAGGACCUCAUAGCUGAGUGUGCCACCAACAAGGACAACUCCACUGGAUACACCUUCAAGAAUGGGAUCUUGAGGUACAAGAACAAAAUUGUCAUUGGAACUGCAACUUCUCUGAGACAGGAUAUUUUGAAAACAUUCCAUGACUCUGAAUUAGGGGGACACUCAGGAGAAAGAGCAACAUAUCACAGAGUACACUUAGUAUUCCACUGGCAAGGACUUAAACAGGAUGUUAUUAGCUUCAUCAAACAGUGUCCUGUCUGCCAGCUAAACAAAGCUGAGCACACUCCUUACCCUGGCCUUCUUGAACCCCUGCCAGUCCCUGAUUUUGCUUGGGCCCACAUUAGCAUGGAUUUUGUGGAAGGACUGCCCACUUCUGAAAACAAGGACCUUAUUUUGGUUGUAGUUGACAGGUUCACAAAAUACUCCCACUUCAUUGCUAUGAAACAUCCAAUAACUGUCCAAACUGUAGCCAGAGCAUUUUCUGAUACAGUGUUCAAACUACAUGGAAUGCCAUUGGUCAUAGUAACUGACAGGGACAGGAUCUUCACCAGCAAAUUAUGGCAGCAACUGUUUAAAUCCCUCAACAUCAAACUGCACAUGAGCACCAGCUACCAUCCACAAACUGAUGGCCAAACAGAGAGGGUAAACCAAUGUUUGGAGAACUACUUGAGGUGUAUGUGUUUCCAACAGCCAAGAAAGUGGCAUGGCUGGCUAGCUCUAGCCGAAUGGUGGUACAAUACCAGCUUCCAUACUUCUCUGCAAAUGACCCCCUUUCAAGCCUUAUAUGGAUUUCCUCCCCCCAUGGUAGCUGAGUCUGCAUUACCUGACUCCAUUUCCGAGGACAGUGACAAUUUACUGCAAAAUAGAGAACUGGCACUAGAGGUGAUAAAGCAAAAUCUGUCCAAGGCACAGGAAAGAAUGAAGCAUUAUGCUGACAGAAACAGACAGGAAAGAUCCUUCGAGGCAGGAGAUAUGGUUUACUUGAAACUGCAGCCAUAUAGGCACACAUCAUUGAGUCUACAUAGACACCUCAAGCUACAUUCCAAGUUCUAUGGGCCCUUCAGAGUUAUGCAACGAGUAGGCAAAGCUGCUUACCAGCUACUUCUACCUGAAGGCUGUCUCCUACACAACACCUUCCAUGUCAGUCAGCUCAAAAAGCACAUUGGCCCAAGAGUAGUUCCUUCAAAGAACUUGCCCCUGAUAGAUGCUGAUGGAGUUGUAAAAAUGGAACCUGAAGCAAUAUUGGACAAAAAACUAAUUCCCAGACCUCAGGGCAACAUCAACAUUCCAGUCGUCAGAUGGUUGAUCAAGUGGGUCAAUAUGCCUGAAGAAGCAUCUACUUGGGAGGACUCGGCCUUCAUACAGAAGGUUUUUCCUUCCUUUCAAGCUUGA